GUGCUCACAUUGGCAGCACAUAUUCUAAAACUGGAAUGAUACGCAGAAGAUUAGCAUGGUCCCUGCAAAAGGAUGACACGCAAAUUUGUGAAGCAUUCCAUUAAAGA
ensembl:snRNA U6 U6 spliceosomal RNA